rnacentral:rRNA from 1 species
CGUAUAUUAAAGUUGUUGCAGUUAAAAAGCUCGUAGUUGUAUUUGUGGCGUGCGUUAGGCUCCCUUUCCCUUUGGGAUUUGGUGUUGUCUGGCGUUGCCAUCCUUGGGUGGNNNNGUGUGGCAUUAGGUUGUCGUGCAGGGGAUGUCCAUCGUUUACUGUGAAAAAAUUAGAGUGUUCAAAGCAGGCUUAUGCCGUUGAAUAUAUUAGCAUGGAAUAAUAAGAUAGGACCUUGGUACUAUUUUGUUGGUUUGCGCANNGAGGUAAUGAUUAAUAGGGACAGUUGGGGG